CACGCGCAAGAUUAGUUAGUUGGUGAGGUAACGGCUCACCAAGGCGAUGAUCUUUAGGGGGCCUGAGAGGGUGAUCCCCCACACUGGUACUGAGACACGGACCAGACUCCUACGGGAGGCAGCAGUGAGGAAUAUUGGACAAUGGGUUAGCGCCUGAUCCAGCCAUCCCGCGUGAAGGACGACGGCCCUAUGGGUUGUAAACUUCUUUUGUAUAGGGAUAAACCUACUCUCGUGAGAGUAGCUGAAGGUACUAUACGAAUAAGCACCGGCUAACUCCGUGCCAGCAGCCGCGGUAAUACGGAGGGUGCAAGCGUUAUCCGGAUUUAUUGGGUUUAAAGGGUCCGUAGGCGGAUCUGUAAGUCAGUGGUGAAAUCUCAUAGCUUAACUAUGAAACUGCCAUUGAUACUGCAGGUCUUGAGUAAAUUUGAAGUGGCUGGAAUAAGUAGUGUAGCGGUGAAAUGCAUAGAUAUUACUUAGAACACCAAUUGCGAAGGCAGGUCACUAAGAUUUAACUGACGCUGAUGGACGAAAGCGUGGGGAGCGAACAGGAUUAGAUACCCUGGUAGUCCACGCCGUAAACGAUGCUAACUCGUUUUUUGUGAUUCGUCAUGAGAGACUAAGCGAAAGUGAUAAGUUAGCCACCUGGGGAGUACGUUCGCAAGAAUGAAACUCAAAGGAAUUGACGGGGGCCCGCACAAGCGGUGGAUUAUGUGGUUUAAUUCGAUGAUACGCGAGGAACCUUACCAAGACUUAAAUGGGAAUUGACAGAUUUAGAAAUAGAUCCUUCUUCGGACAAUUUUCAAGGUGCUGCAUGGUUGUCGUCAGCUCGUGCCGUGAGGUGUUAGGUUAAGUCCUGCAACGAGCGCAACCCCUGUCGCCAGUUGCUACCAUUCAGUUGAGGACUCUGGCGAGACUGCCUACGCAAGUAGAGAGGAAGGUGGGGAUGACGUCAAAUCAUCACGGCCCUUACGUCUUGGGCCACACACGUAAUACAAUGGCCGGUACAGAGGGCAGCUACACAGCGAUGUGAUGCAAAUCUCGAAAGCCGGUCUCAGUUCGGAUUGGAGUCUGCAACUCGACUCUAUGAAGCUGGAAUCGCUAGUAAUCGCGCAUCA
rnacentral:rRNA from 1 species